GCAUAUCAAUAAGCGGAGGAAAAGAAACCAACAGGGAUUGCCCCAGUAACGGCGAGUGAAGCGGCAACAGCUCAAAUUUGAAAUCUGGCCCCUAGGGCCCGAGUUGUAAUUUGCAGAGGAUGCUUUUGGCGAGGUGCCUUCCGAGUUCCCUGGAACGGGACGCCAUAGAGGGUGAGAGCCCCGUCUGGUUGGAUGCCGAGCCUCUGUAAAGCUCCUUCGACGAGUCGAGUAGUUUGGGAAUGCUGCUCUAAAUGGGAGGUAUAUGUCUUCUAAAGCUAAAUACCGGCCAGAGACCGAUAGCGCACAAGUAGAGUGAUCGAAAGAUGAAAAGCACUUUGAAAAGAGGGUUAAAUAGUACGUGAAAUUGUUGAAAGGGAAGCACUUAUGACCAGACUUGGACCCGGUGAAUCAUCCAGCGUUCUCGCUGGUGCACUUUGCCGGGCUCAGGCCAGCAUCAGUUUGCCUCGGGGGAUAAAGGCUUUGGGAAUGUGGCUCCCUCGGGAGUGUUAUAGCCCAUUGCACAAUACCCUGGGGCGGACUGAGGUUCGCGCAUCUGCAAGGAUGCUGGCGUAAUGGUCAUCAGUGACCCGUCUUGAAACACGGACCAAGGAGUCGUCUUCGUAUGCGAGUGUUCGGGUGUAAAACCCCUACGCGUAAUGAAAGUGAACGCAGGUGAGAGCUUCGGCGCAUCAUCGACCGAUCCUGAUGUUCUCGGAUGGAUUUGAGUAAGAGCAUACGGGGCCGGACCCGAAAGAAGGUGAACUAUGCCUGUAUAGGGUGAAGCCAGAGGAAAACUCUGGUGGAGGCUCGCAGCGGUUCUGACGUGCAAAUCGAUCGUCAAAUAUGGGCAUGGGGGGCGAAAGACUAAUCGAACCUUCUAGUAGCUGGUUUCCGCCGA
rnacentral:rRNA from 1 species